AUUGUUGUGAAGGUUUUGAAUUUUGAAUAUUUAGCCAGUUUUGGUGGGAAAAGAGGAUAUUUGUGCGGAAGAAUAACAUGGGUAAAAGGGCUUGAAAGACGUCUCACAUUGAACUGGAAGUACAGAAUUGACCACAGUCUACUUUAACUUUUCCUGAUUUGAGAUUUCCAUGAUGAACCUCAUACAUGCUUCGGAGGAGAUGACUGCCAGGUGCUAUAGUUUAUGCCUUGUGAGGAAUUAGCUCAACGAAUAUUGUGGAAAGAGUUACAGCUUGUGACAUGAGCUUGAAAUAACAUUGAAGUCAAUGGGGCAAUAAUUGGUGAUCUGUGGCCUGUCUGUAGUGAAUGGAACAAAUUUUACAUUUUUUGCUGUGAUCAAAGUUUUGAAGAUUUUUACUUGAAAUUUUCAGAGCAGACGUCAAAAUCUGAGUUCACAGUUCAAGACUGCGUGUAUGAAUGAUCCUGCAGGGCUUCCUCUUGUGUUUCCGUCAUCAUGCCAUCUGAACAGUUAUAUUGUUAGAAGCCAGGAAUAUGGAACGUAGCCACCACGAAUUGUGAAAACCACCCCCACAGACGACUGAACAGUUGCGGC